AUGUUUCAGAAGCAAGGAGCUGGUGGGAAAAACUCUGCCAUUUGGUACAGAAGAAGGUUUGUUCCUCCAUUAGUUAAGGAUUUUGUGGCACCUGGCUUGGAUUCAGCCAACCGGACAAAGAGGAAACAGACCUCACAUCUUGACCUUUCUCCUGCACCCAGAAAAAAUGAAGAGUUUCCUCCUCAUAUGGAAAAAUUACUGUGUGGAAAAAUAACUGCAGAGUGUAGCAGAUAUAAUCUAAUAGCUGCAGUAUGAGAACGAUCUUUGGGAUCUUUUGUGACACAACUACCUUGUAUUGAAUAGGUACCAUAGGUAAUUAGUGGCACCAUUGGGUAGGUGUGACAUCAGCUGACCCUCGGAAAGGAGGAGAAUAUUCAGUGCUUUAAUAUCACAGCCAUUGUCCCUUCAUAUGCUGACUAAUUUUUAUAGAGAGAGCCUGGCAGAGUUUGCUGUGGCCUUGUGUUUUUUUAGUCAGUUGUCUCCACUCGUAUGCAUGUAAUUCUGUCAGAGCAUGCCUGGCAUGCACAAAUUAGUUUUCUGAUGUGAAAAGCAUAUUUUGCCAACACUCCACAAGAAGGAGUCAGUUAUAUGUGAGCCCAUUUGUUUGAAAAUAAGAGAUGGACAGAAAAAAAAAAUAUAUAUAUAAAAUUGUGCCAUCCAUAUUUGUAUGCUGUCCUCAGAAUCGGGUCUGGAUUUUUCACCAUAUGGAAGAUCUUACCUAGAGUUCAAAUUGAAUUGAACUGAAAUGCAGUAAAAAUGUAAAUGAAAACUCCAUUACAGGCUAUGGGAAGCACGAAGCGAAGCCUGCUAAGCAAGCUGAAUUUCAAAAGCUAAUUGCCAAAUUCAUCUCUGACACAAGUUUUCCAAAUCCACCUAAGAUUUCUCAUACAUGUUACAGUGGUAAAGCAACUUGUUUUAAACAAAGCUGAGCUGUGUUAGAUUUGCAGGUUUUAACAUGAGAGUAAAACAGCUGAGGUUAUUUUUCCCAUCUUUAAUCAAGUCUUUAUUUUUUUGACUGCAUCUCUAUAUUUGUCUCUACCCACUUUUCUCCUGCUAGUAUUUUAGAGAUGGUUGAAAGCACAAAAGGAAAAUUAUUUGUUGUAGGCUUCGAAAUACUGUGCAUGUUUUCACAGCAAAUAUAUUACUAUUAAGUUUACAAUGGCUAUUUUUUAUCUAGGAAUUUUCUGUAUUGAUCUUUGAAGAGCCUAUCACAUGUAGAAGUAUUUUUGUUUGUUUUGCUUUAUAUUGUUUUUGU
rnacentral:lncRNA from 1 species